AACGCGAAGAACCUUACCAGGGUUUGACAUGCAGGUGGUAGUGACCUGAAAGGGGAGCGACCCUGUCAUAGUGCAGGGAGCCUGCACAGGUGGUGCAUGGUUGUCGUCAGCUCGUGUCGUGAGAUGUUGGGUUAAGUCCCGCAACGAGCGCAACCCUUGCUCUUAGUUGCCAGCGGGUAAAGCCGGGCACUCUAGGGGGACUGCCGCCGACGAGGCGGAGGAAGGCGGGGAUGACGUCAAAUCAUCAUGCCCCUUACGCCCUGGGCUACACACGUGCUACAAUGGCCGGUACAACGGGAGGCGAAGCCGCGAGGUGGAGCAGACCCUAGAAAGCCGGUCGUAGUUCGGAUUGCAGGCUGCAACUCGCCUGCAUGAAGGCGGAAUCGCUAGUAAUCGCGGAUCAGCAUGCCGCGGUGAAUACGUUCCCGGGUCUUGUACACACCG
rnacentral:rRNA from 1 species